AAAAUUUACCCAUUUAAGGGAGCAUGCGCACAAAAAUCUAUUGAAAACCCAAAUCCACCUUUUUAAAACUCUUUUUCCUUUUAACAAUCACCUUUUUUUUUUUUUUGAAAAAAACUUAAGAAUUUUUUUUUGAAAUGUUCUCUCAACUCAUACACUCAUUUUCUCCUCUUCAUCAGACACCAGCUCUAUCAAAGGUCCCAUGUGCGAUGGCCACCGACGACAUGAGCACAACUCCGGUGGCGGUGGCAAGGGCGGUGCUUGCAGUGGCGGUGGCAAGUGGAGGCACCUAGGGUUUGCUGCUUCCUUGUUUUUUCUGCUGGUGGUUUGGGCUAAGGUAGGUUGGGCUUAGUUGGUUUAAUUGGUAUUGGGUUUAGUUUAGUUUAAUUGGGUUGAAGACUUAAGUUUGAGUUUUGGGUUGGUUGUUGGACAGUUUAUUUUUGGGGUGAGUUAAUUUGGUUUAAUUGGGGUUGGAGCUUGGUUUGUACCUAAGCUAAAAUUGGACCUCAACAAUUAAUAUAAUUACUAUUACUUAUUAUUUUAAUAAAA